AUGUUCUGUUGCUACUUUCUGUUUGAGACGACUUCCCGGUUGUAGUUGGUGGUUGAGCUAGGUUCCGGCAUUCAAGGCAACGGUGUAUUCUCAGAUGGCUUUGAAACUCCAAAUGGUAUAGCAAACGCAUCUUCCAUCGAACGCCAGAAGCCAGUUUGGAGUAAUACUAUCUGAGUAACAUGAGUAGUGACACCUGUAUUUGUUUUUAUGGUUUUCGUUUUC
rnacentral:lncRNA from 1 species